AUUGAACGCUGGCGGCAGGCCUAACACAUGCAAGUCGAGCGGAGCGGCGGACGGGGGCGUAAUGCCUAGGACUCUGCCUGGUAGUGGGGGAUAACGUCCGGAAACGGGCGCUAAUACCGCAUACUAUCAGAUGAGCCUAGGUCGGAUUAGCUAGAUGGAGGGGUAAAGGUCUACCAAGGCGACGAUCCGUAGCUGGUCUGAGAGGAUGAUCAGUCACACUGGAACUGAGACACGGCCCAGACUCCUACGGGAGGCAGCAGUAGGGAAUCUUCCACAAUGGGCGCAAGCCUGACGGAGCAACGCCGCGUGAGUGAAGAAGGUUUUCGGGUCGUAAAGCUCUUUUGGAGGGGAAGCGGUACUUUACCAGAAAGCCACGGCUAACUACGUGCCAGCAGCCGCGGUAAUAC
rnacentral:rRNA from 1 species